rnacentral:rRNA from 1 species
CCUACGGGAGGCUGCAGUGGGGAAUAUUGGACAAUGGGCGAAAGCCUGAUCCAGCCAUGCCGCGUGUGUGAAGAAGGCCUUCGGGUUGUAAAGCACUUUCAGUGGGGAAGAAAGCCUUGGGGCUAAUACCCUCGAGGAAGGACAUCACCCACAGAAGAAGCACCGGCUAACUCCGUGCCGGCAGCCGCGGUAAUACGGAGGGUGCGGGCGUUAAUCGGAAUUACUGGGCGUAAAGCGCGCGUAGGCGGUCUGAUAAGCCGGUUGUGAAAGCCCCGGGCUCAACCUGGGAACGGCAUCCGGAACUGUCAGGCUAGAGUGCAGGAGAGGAAGGUAGAAUUCCCGGUGUAGCGGUGAAAUGCGUAGAGAUCGGGAGGAAUACCAGUGGCGAAGGCGGCCUUCUGGACUGACACUGACGCUGAGGUGCGAAAGCGUGGGUAGCAAACAGGAUUAGAUACCCCGGUAGUC